AGUUUGAUCCUGGCUCAGAUUGAACGCUGGCGGCAUGCCUUACACAUGCAAGUCGAACGGCAGCGCGGACUUCGGUCUGGCGGCGAGUGGCGAACGGGUGAGUAAUACAUCGGAACGUACCCUGUUGUGGGGAUAACUAGUCGAAAGAUUAGCUAAUACCGCAUACGACCUGAGGGUGAAAGUGGGGGACCGCAAGGCCUCACGCAGCAGGAGCGGCCGAUGUCUGAUUAGCUAGUUGGUGGGGUAAAGGCCCACCAAGGCGACGAUCAGUAGCUGGUCUGAGAGGACGAUCAGCCACACUGGGACUGAGACACGGCCCAGACUCCUACGGGAGGCAGUAGUGGGGAAUUUUGGACAAUGGGGCAACCCUGAUCCAGCAAUGCCGCGUGUGUGAAGAAGGCCUUCGGGUUGUAAAGCACUUUUGUCCGGAAAGAAAUCGCGCUGGUUAAUACCUGGCGUGGAUGACGGUACCGGAAGAAUAAGCACCGGCUAACUACGUG
rnacentral:rRNA from 1 species